rnacentral:rRNA from 1 species
GGACUACUGGGGUAUCUAAUCCCGUUCGCUCCCCUGGCCUUCGCGCCUCAGCGUCAGUUUCUGUCCAGGCAGCCGCCUUCGCCGCUGGUGUUCCUCCCAAUAUCUACGCAUUUCACCGCUACACUGGGAAUUCCACUGCCCCCUCCAGAACUCAAGCCUCACAGUAUUAGAUGCAAUUCCCAGGUUAAGCCCGGGGCUUUCACAGCUAACUUGCAAGACCGCCUACGCGCCCUUUACGCCCAAUAAUUCCGAACAACGCUUGCCACCCCCGUAUUACCGCGGCUGCUGGCAC